GGCAGGUCUCCUUUCCCUCUCUCUUCAACUUUUUUACUGUUUAGAUCGAAAAACUUCGAAGGGAAAUUCCAAUUCCAUGGCCUCCAAACGGAUCCUCAAGGAACUCAAGGACCUUCAGAAAGAUCCUCCAACCUCUUGCAGCGCUGGUAAUUUUAUUUUUUUUGUCUUCCCUCCAACCCCAUUUUAUGCUUUAAACACCCCUCAUGCUUGGAUCUAUGAAUUUUUCACUUUUAUCUUUAUGGGUAUUCAUCGUUUUUCCAUUUGUUUCAUGGGUUUGUUAUGUUUUUCUUGAUUUCGUUUUGUGUUGCUAGUUUGUUUAGGAUCUUUGAUGCUUUAUGAAUGAUAAGCAACGAUUUAUAAUUUUCUUGUUUUUUGUUAAUAUUGUUAAAGGUGUGAUUUUUUUGUCUGAAAUUUUAAUUCGUUUUAGAAAAAGUUUAGUAUGUUUGGUUGGAUUCACGUUUCAGCAGCAAAAUUUGUUUCUAGAGUUGUAAAAUUGAUCUUGACUUAUUUGAUUGUUUUCGAAUAGAAUUGAUUUUGUUUCUUGAAUUAAUUACAUGUUUGAUUUCACUUUUGGAGGAUACAAAAUUGAUUUCAUAGGUUGGAAAUUGAUUUUGACAUGUUUGGAUGUUUUCAAGCAGAAUUGAUUUUGCCUGAAGAAUUUAUUUAUUCUAAUUUGAAGCUAGAAUUUUUAGGUUUUGAUUUCUACAAUUGAUUUUAGCCUUGAAUUUAUUUUUCAAUCCACUUUUUCAUGGAUAUGUUCAAACUUCAAUCAUAAAUUACUUUAUAUUCAACUCACUUUUUGUCACAAUCAAUUUCACGCAAUCAAUUCAUUCAAAAUCAAUUUGUGUCAACGUAGAACUAAUCAAAUGCAUCCCAGAGCUGAAAACCUGUUUUUGAACUUUAAGCGUUGACCCUCUAUUGCGUUCUAUUAAGAAUUAUGAUGGAUUAUAGAAGCUAAUUCAGUUAUAUCUGUCUGUGUUUGUGAAGUCCAAUUAGAUGCAUGUCUUGUAAGAUAACUAUUGCUUUAAGAUAAAGCUGAUUUUAUCUUCCUAAUGUUUGCAAUUAUUAUGUUUCUUGAGUUGCAAAAAUGUAUUUAUCAAACAAUCAGAUGCAAAUUGUGUUGAGUCAGUACAUAUUAUUUGAAGUCUGUUAAACAUUUUUACAAUAUUUUCUGAUGCAAAGUUUGUUUUUUCUUGUGUGUUUAUCCACCACCUUCACAGGCCCUGUAGCGGAAGACAUGUUUCAUUGGCAAGCAACUAUAAUGGGUCCCCCUGAUAGCCCUUAUGCCGGAGGAGUUUUUCUAGUUACCAUUCAUUUUCCUCCUGAUUAUCCAUUCAAGCCACCCAAGGUAUUGGACUUUGUUUUGCUUGACAUAUCAGGAUUCAUAUCAGAUUUGUGUGUUCAUAAAAUAGUUGUUUUUAAGCCUUUAUCUAUCAUACUUAACCUCCUCUAUUUCCUGGCUGGAAAAAAAUUGUGAGAGCUUUUCCAAAUACAAGCUUUGAUAUGGCUAGUUGUGAUUUCUAAAUCAUGCAAAGCACAAUUUGUUCAGUUUUAAACCUUUUUUCUCUUGCAGGUUGCAUUUAGGACCAAAGUUUUCCACCCAAAUAUCAACAGCAAUGGUAGCAUUUGUCUUGAUAUCUUGAAGGAGCAGUGGAGCCCCGCUUUGACAAUAUCUAAGGUUCUGCCAUUGCUUAACUCAUUAACUCAAUUUUUUUCAAAUACACCACUUGUGUUAAAAAGAAAUUUUGCAGUACAACAACAAUGAUAAUACAUUUUUGCAACUCUAGAAUAUGCGUGUUUUGGUAGUGAGUCUGGUAACUUUGAACUUUAUUAGGUUUACAAAGGAAACUACAUAUGUAAAACAAGUUGCAAAUGCUAAACAUUUUUUGAGCAUCUUAUGAUAUGUAUGUUGAUGAUGUUUACUCCACAUAAUCAGGAUUACUGAUUGAUAAAUAUGCUUUGAAAUAUCUCAAGAUAGCUAGCGACUACUUUACUUGUUACCAGUUUUGCAUUUAUGAUGAAUUCAAACCAAUUUCAAAAAGAUUAUUGGUGAUGUGUGCAAUUGGUCGGACCUUCACAAUCCUGAUGUUGGACUUUAUUAGGUUUACAAAGAAAAAUAUAUAUGUAAAGGACAAGCUGCAAAUGCUAAACAUUUUUUGAGCAUCUUGUGAUAUGUGUGUUGACUGUUGAUGAUGUUUAUUCGGCAUAAUCUGGAUUAUUGAUUGAUAAGUAUGCUUUGAAAUAUCUCAAGAUAGCUGCCUGUUUACUUGUAAGGUCUUUCCAGUUAUGCAUUUACGAUGAAUUCAAAUAAAUUUUAAAAAGGUUUUGUUGAUGUGAUACAAUUGGUUGUACGGUCACAAUCCUGAAGUUGUCACUAUAAAUUCCGUUCCCCUUUGUGUGUCAUUCUUUUAUCAUUGCAAUGCACGGUUAAUUAUUCUUUCUGUUGAUUUAUUAUUAUUACUGCUGUUUCUUAAGUGGGUGGGAAAGGUUUGUGUUUGGUUAUUUCAGGUGCUGUUAUCCAUUUGUUCCCUGUUGACGGAUCCAAACCCAGAUGAUCCCUUAGUGCCUGAAAUAGCUCAUAUGUACAAGACAGACAGGUCCAAGUAUGAGACCACUGCUCGGAGCUGGACUCAGAAGUAUGCAAUGGGCUAGCAAGAAUGUUGGAAGGUUGAUUGCUCUUCUCUCCCCUUAUAUGCUAAAAACUGUCAAAAUACCCUACCGGAGCUUCCGGUAAGAUUCUGCAUUUUAAGCGGGUUGGACGAGCAAUCACUUGUUGGAAGUAUCUGUUCCUUUAGUUCCAUUUGUUAAGUGUCAUGAUGUAUAAUAUCAUAUUAUAUCUCUUUUCAUUCCUGCCUUUAACAUAUUGAAGGGUAGAUCUUUCUGUGUUUCCUGUCUG
rnacentral:lncRNA from 1 species